rnacentral:rRNA from 1 species
GGGCUAUGUUGGCCGGGCGACGGUUGUCCCGGUUUAAGCGUGUAGGCUGGUUUUCCAGGCAAAUCCGGAAAAUCAAGGCUGAGGCGUGAUGACGAGGCACUACGGUGCUGAAGCAACAAAUGCCCUGCUUCCAGGAAAAGCCUCUAAGCAUCAGGUAACAUCAAAUCGUACCCCAAACCGACACAGGUGGUCAGGUAGAGAAUACCAAGGCGCUUGAGAGAACUCGGGUGAAGGAACUAGGCAAAAUGGUGCCGUAACUUCGGGAGAAGGCACGCUGAUAUGUAGGUGAGGUCCCUCGCGGAUGGAGCUGAAAUCAGUCGAAGAUACCAGCUGGCUGCAACUGUUUUAUUAAAAACACAGCACUGUGCAAACACGAAAGUGGACGUAUACGGUGUGACGCCUGCCCGGUGCCGGAAGGUUAAUUGAUGGGGUUAGCGCAAGCGAAGCUCUUGAUCGAAGCCCCGGUAAACGGCGGCCGUAACAAUAACGGUCCUAAGGUAGCGAAAUUCCUUGUCGGGUAAGUUCCGACCUGCACGAAUGGCGUAAUGAUGGCCAGGCUGUCUCCACCCGAGACUCAGUGAAAUUGAACUCGCUGUGAAGAUGCAGUGUACCCGCGGCAAGACGGAAAGACCCCGUGAACCUUUACUAUAGCUUGACACUGAACAUUGAGCCUUGAUGUGUAGGAUAGGUGGGAGGCUUUGAAGUGUGGACGCCAGUCUGCAUGGAGCCGACCUUGAAAUACCACCCUUUAAUGUUUGAUGUUCUAACGUUGACCCGUAAUCCGGGUUGCGGACAGUGUCUGGUGGGUAGUUUGACUGGGGCGGUCUCCUCCUAAAGAGUAACGGAGGAGCACGAAGGUUGGCUAAUCCUGGUCGGACAUCAGGAGGUUAGUGCAAUGGCAUAAGCCAGCUUGACUGCGAGCGUGACGGCGCGAGCAGGUGCGAAAGCAGGUCAUAGUGAUCCGGUGGUUCUGAAUGGAAGGGCCAUCGCUCAACGGAUAAAAGGUACUCCGGGGAUAACAGGCUGAUACCGCCCAAGAGUUCAUAUCGACGGCGGUGUUUGGCACCUCGAUGUCGGCUCAUCACAUCCUGGGGCUGAAGUAGGUCCCAAGGGUAUGGCUGUUCGCCAUUUAAAGUGGUACGCGAGCUGGGUUUAGAACGUCGUGAGACAGUUCGGUCCCUAUCUGCCGUGGGCGCUGGAGAACUGAGGGGGGCUGCUCCUAGUACGAGAGGACCGGAGUGGACGCAUCACUGGUGUUCGGGUUGUCAUGCCAAUGGCACUGCCCGGUAGCUAAAUGCGGAAGAGAUAAGUGCUGAAAGCAUCUAAGCACGAAACUUGCCCCGAGAUGAGUUCUCCCUGACCCUUUAAGGGUCCUGAAGGAACGUUGAAGACGACGACGUUGAUAGGCCGGGUGUGUAAGCGCAGCGAUGCGUUGAGCUAACCGGUACUAAUGAACC